AGUUCUACAUUUUUCCUUGUAAAUUAUAGUUCUUUGUCUCUCUCUCCUCAGGUUCUGAAAUGGGUAUUCGUUUGCCUUCCAUGAUCUCCAGUGCCAUGCAAAUUCUCAAGAAGCAGUCUUUCCAUGGUAGAAACGAGUCUAAUGUACCUAAAGGGCAUGUAGCAGUUUAUGUUGGAGAAUUCCAGAGGAGGAGAUUUAUUGUUCCAAUAUCAUAUUUGAACCAUCCUUGCUUCCGGGACUUGCUUAACCAAGCUGAAGAAGAAUUUGGCUUCAAUCAUCCAAUGGGCGCUCUUACAAUUCCUUGCAAAGAAGAUGCCUUUAUUGAUCUCACUUCUCGGUUUCUUGCCUUGUGAGACAAAAAGAAGAUUCACCAAACCCAUUUCUGCAAAUUUUUGACAAGAUAUUCAUCUCCUUUUUUAUCCCUUCUCUUUUUCCCUCCUAGGACAAUGUAUAGGAGGAUUGUGAAGUAUACAUGUGUACAUUUUCCCACGUACGAGUAGAUGAAUCAAUUUUUCCCUUUUUAAUGUUUCUCUUUAAUGAAUCAUGUCCCUUACAUCAAUUUUUCAUUCAAAGAUUUUCUUUGAAGCUCUGCU
rnacentral:misc_RNA from 1 species